AGCAGCCGCGGUAAUUCCAGCUCCAAUAGCGUAUAUUAAAGUUGUUGCAGUUAAAAAGCUCGUAGUUGAAUUUCGGGGUCAGUAGAUUGGUCAUGCCUCCGGUAUGUACUGGUCUUACUGGCUCCUCCUUCCUGAUGAACCGUAAUGCCAUUAAUUUGGUGUUGCGGGGAGACUGGACUGUUACUUUGAAAAAAUUAGAGUGUUUAAAGCAGGCUAACGCUUGAAUACAUUAGCAUGGAAUAAUGAAAUAGGACGUUCGAUCUUAUUUUGUUGGUUUCUAAGAUUGACGUAAUGAUUAAUAGGGAUAGUUGGGGGCAUUAGUAUUCAAUUGUCAGAGGUGAAAUUCUUGGAUUUAUUGAAGACUAACUACUGCGAAAGCAUUUGCCAAGGAUGUUUUCAUUAAUCAAGAACGAAAGUUAGGGGAUCGAAGACGAUCAGAUACCGUCGUAGUCUUAACCAUAAACUAUGCCGACUAGGGAUCGGAUGAUGUUAAUUUUUAAUGACUCAUUCGGCGCCUUAA
rnacentral:rRNA from 1 species